rnacentral:rRNA from 1 species
CGACGCUGGCGGCAGGCCUAACACAUGCAAGUCGAGCGGAUGAGUGGAGCUUGCUCCAUGAUUCAGCGGCGGACGGGUGAGUAAUGCCUAGGAAUCUGCCUGGUAGUGGGGGACAACGUUUCGAAAGGAACGCUAAUACCGCAUACGUCCUACGGGAGAAAGUGGGGGAUCUUCGGACCUCACGCUAUCAGAUGAGCCUAGGUCGGAUUAGCUAGUUGGUGAGGUAAAGGCUCACCAAGGCGACGAUCCGUAACUGGUCUGAGAGGAUGAUCAGUCACACUGGAACUGAGACACGGUCCAGACUCCUACGGGUG